rnacentral:rRNA from 1 species
AGAGUUUGAUCAUGGCUCAGAACGAACGCUGGCGGCAUGCCUAACACAUGCAAGUCGAACGAGACCUUCGGGUCUAGUGGCGCACGGGUGCGUAACGCGUGGGAAUCUGCCCUUGGGUUCGGAAUAACAGUUAGAAAUGACUGCUAAUACCGGAUAAUGUCUUCGGACCAAAGAUUUAUCGCCCAGGGAUGAGCCCGCGUAGGAUUAGCUAGUUGGUGAGGUAAAGGCUCACCAAGGCGACGAUCCUUAGCUGGUCUGAGAGGAUGAUCAGCCACACUGGGACUGAGACACGGCCCAGACUCCUACGGGAGGCAGCAGUGGGGAAUAUUGGACAAUGGGCGAAAGCCUGAUCCAGCAAUGCCGCGUGAGUGAUGAAGGCCUUAGGGUUGUAAAGCUCUUUACCCGGGAUGAUAAUGACAGUACCGGGAGAAUAAGCCCCGGCUAACUCCGUG